GAUACGAUAGUGGUGUUUAAGAGGCCUUUGGAUAGCCACAUGGACAUACAGGGAAUGGAGCAAUAUGGAUCAUGAGGAGGCAGAGGAGAU